GAUUUUUCAAUGAGGUACCCACUUGUUCAAGGGCAUGGUAACUUUGGCUCAAUCGAUGCUGAUCCUCCUUCUGCAGAGGGAUACACAGAGUGCCGGUUGGAUCCAUUAACAGAAGCCAUGUUCCUGACUAAUCUGGAGUUAAGUUUGCUUGCAUAUAAUUAUAAUUCUGUCUAUGAUUGUGUUGCGAACUGAAGAACCAACCAUUUUAUUUUAUUUGCAGGUGAAACAAACGGCAAUCCGGAAUAACCAACUAUCCAUGAUCUUGCUUCUGCAGCAUUAGCAGAUUAUUAGUUGGGCAAGUGUCCUUGAAAAUCAGAAGAUUGCUAGCAAACAUGAUGGAUCAGUGGUCUUCUCAUGACGAAUACCUUUUACUCCCACAUGGUGUUGAUGUUAGGUACGGGGGAUCCAAAUCGUGUAAGAAGGUUCGUG